rnacentral:rRNA from 1 species
CCUACGGAGGCUGCAGUGGGGAAUAUUGGACAAUGGGCGAAAGCCUGAUCCAGCCAUGCCGCGUGUGUGAAGAAGGCCUUCGGGUUGUAAAGCACUUUCAGUGGGGAAGAAAGCCUUGGGGCUAAUACCCUCGAGGAAGGACAUCACCCACAGAAGAAGCACCGGCUAACUCCGUGCCAGCAGCCGCGGUAAUACGGAGGGUGCGGGCGUUAAUCGGAAUUACUGGGCGUAAAGCGCGCGUAGGCGGUCUGAUAAGCCGGUUGUGAAAGCCCCGGGCUCAACCUGGGAACGGCAUCCGGAACUGUCAGGCUAGAGUGCAGGAGAGGAAGGUAGAAUUCCCGGUGUAGCGGUGAAAUGCGUAGAGAUCGGGAGGAAUACCAGUGGCGAAGGCGGCCUUCUGGACUGACACUGACGCUGAGGUGCGAAAGCGUGGGUAGCAAACAGGAUUAGAUACCCGAGUAGUC